rnacentral:rRNA from 1 species
CCUACUGGUGACAUCAUUGGGGCAUCUUGCACAAUGGGGGAAACCCUGAUGCAGCGACGCCGCGUGAGUUCUUCCUUCUUUCUUUCUUUCCCUCUCUCUCCUCCUUUCCUCCCCUUACUUUCCCUUACUAAGAAGCCCCGGCUAACUACGUGCCAGCAGCCGCUGUAAUACGUAGGGGGCAAGCGUUAUCCGGAUUUACUGGGUGUAAAGGGAGCGUAGACAGUUAAUCAAGUCAGAAGUGAAAACCCAGGGCUCAACCUUGGGACUGCUUUUGAAAAUGAGUAGCUAGAGUGCAGGAGAGGUAAGCGGAAUUCAUAGUGUAGCGGUGAAAUGCGUAGAUAUUAGGAGGAACACCAGUGGCGAAGGCGGCUUAAUGGACUGUAAAUGACGUUGAGGCUCGAAAGCGGGGGGAGCAAACAGGAUUAGAGAAAAGGGGAGUC